GGCCGGUUAGCUCAGUCGGUUGAGCGUGGUGCUGAUAACACCAAGGUUGCGGGUUCGAUCCUUGUUCUGUCCC
rnacentral:tRNA from 1 species